UCUCUCUCUCUCUCUCUCUCUCUCUCUCUCUCUCUCUCUCUCACACACACACACACACACACCCACUUAAGCAGAGACUAUUUGUGUAGCCACAAAAAAACCCACAAGUUGUCACAUCCGCCACAAAACUGCGUGACUCUUUAUUUUCUCAUCCCUUGCACAAAAAGUCUUCCAAAGUGUUCACCACAUUGUGUAGUGUGCUCCUUAACUCAUUCUACAUGUUUUUAUGAAGAUAAGCUGAAACAUUUCCAACGUUACUGCUUUUUUUUUCUUCAAAAAAGUGUAGUAAUGGUGUUGCAGGGUUUCAUCAUUUUGCUUUUCUUCAUCAGUAGUAACCAUGGACAUACUGAAUUCAUUUAUACAGCAAAGGAUGAAGUAAAAUUGUUUUGCGACACCAACAAAUGGGAAAUAAGCACAAAGUCUGACAACAACAUUGAUGUGAAUUGCACAGUGGAGUGUGUUCAUGGUGAAGCACUCAAACUUAAUAAUACCCAGAAUUCCUGCAAAAAUAAAGAUUCGUUCAAAGUUGGUGAAAAAUGUUCGCUAAUAGCGAGCAGUGGAUUUUAUCGAUGUGUUACUGCUCUGGAUUCUGGUUUCUUAUUUCCAUUCAAACCGUCUCCCAACACUGUCACGUCGUACAUAGUCGCCACUGCAAAUGAAGAAAUGACAAACAAGUCUGAGGAAAGAUCUUCAGUCGAGCUAACUGAAGGUGAAGAUGUACUUUUAAACUGCAGUGACAUCUUUACAGAAGAAUAUGACAACCAGGACUUUGUAGUGUACUGGAUCAAGACCAUUGGAAAGAACAGUACCUGUGUGUCUUCUUAUGAUUUUGAUUUAUAUACUCGUAUAACAUACAAUCCCCACUGCAAUGUGCAAGAAGAACUGCUUUACAGACUCUCAAACCAAACUGAAGGCAAAAUCACCCAUAACAUCAGGAUCAGUAACGUAACAGACUCAGAUGCUGGACAAUAUCUUUGUGCCUUACAAGUGCGCACACGUGCACACACGUAUCAAGUGCACACACGUGAUAAAACAAAAGGAAAGUGGAAGAUCAUAAAUAAUAUUACAGUCAGUGUACAUAAAGACAAAGGACCUGAAAUAGCUGGAAACAGUGCUGACCUCAACCCUAAAGAUCCCAUUCCUAAAGACAAAGCAUCUGAAAGCACUGGAAACAGCACUGAGUCUCUGAUCCGCUUGUGUGUUACACUGCCAGUAAUACUGGGUAUUCCGGCAGCUCUUAUGGUGGUAUAUUUAUGGAAAAAGAUGAAAAUUUCACCAAGAUCUCAGGCUAUGGAACUGCAAACAAUCCAACAUUGAGAAGAAACUCCUGAUAUGAACUUUGAGGCAUGAGAGUAACACAGCACUUAGGAAGAGCUGACGUUUAAAACGUGUUAAAUAUGUGCUCUUUAUUAUGCUUUCUUUUACUUAUUGAAACUCUCCCAAUACUGUCCCAGCAUGUGUCUUUCUCAUUUCAAACCUACAAAAUUAGUCCAUUUAAUAAAUCUGACUUUGGGUCAAAUUUAAUGGUUCUGUAUUUUCUUUCUAAGUAUAAAAAAGCAUUAGAAUGUUUUUAUUGAUGAAAAGACA
ensembl:lncRNA